rnacentral:rRNA from 1 species
UUACGGGAGGCAGCAGUGAGGAAUAUUGGUCGAUGGGCGAGAGCCUGAACCAGCCAAGUCGCGUGAAGGAAGACGGUUCUAUGGAUUGUAAACUUCUUUUGUAAGGGAAUAAAGUUCACUACGUGUAGUGUUUUGUAUGUACUUUACGAAUAAGGAUCGGCUAACUCCGUGCCAGCAGCCGCGGUAAUACGGAGGAUCCAAGCGUUAUCCGGAUUUAUUGGGUUUAAAGGGUGCGUAGGCGGACCCAUAAGUCAGUGGUGAAAGUUUGCAGCUUAACUGUAAAAUUGCCGUUGAAACUGUGGGUCUUGAGUGUAAAUAAAGUAGGCGGAAUGUGUUGUGUAGCGGUGAAAUGCUUAGAUAUAACACAGAACACCAAUUGCGAAGGCAGCUUACCGGGAUACAACUGACGCUGAGGCACGAAAGCGUGGGGAUCAAACAGGAUUAGAUACCCUGGU